ACAGUAAUUGUGGUCUAUCAGUUAUUCUAUAGAAUGGUACUUGGACAGAGCUUUAGUUGGGAUGCCAUUAUUGAAUUUCUGGUCAAAGUCUCACUUGGAGCUGUUGCCAUCAGAAU